rnacentral:rRNA from 1 species
CGCGAAGAACCUUACCUAGGCUUGACAUCCGACGCUACCCUAUGAAAGUAGGGGUUCCCUUCGGGGACGUCGAGACAGGUGUUGCAUGGCUGUCGUCAGCUCGUGUCGUGAGAUGUUGGGUUAAGUCCCGCAACGAACGCAACCCUCGUUAUUAGUUGCCAGCAUUCAGUUGGGCACUCUAAUAAGACCGCUUGCCGAUAAGGCAGAGGAAGGUGGGGGUGACGUCAAGUCCGCAUGGCCCUUACGCCUAGGGCUACACACGUACUACAAUGGACGGCACAAUACGUUGCAAAGCCGUGAGGCAGAGCUAAUCGGAAAAAACCGUCCUCAAUUCAGAUUGGAGUCUGCAACUCGACUCUAUGAAGCUGGAAUCGCUAGUAAUCGUGGAUCAGCAUGCCACGGUGAAUACGUUCCCGGGCCUUGAACACCCGGUG